rnacentral:rRNA from 1 species
AGAGUUUGAUCAUGGCUCAGAUUGAACGCUGGCGGAAUGCUUUACACAUGCAAGUCGAACGGCAGCACGGGAGCUUGCUCCUGGUGGCGAGUGGCGAACGGGUGAGUAAUGCGUCGGAACGUACCGAGUAAUGGGGGAUAACGCAGCGAAAGCUGUGCUAAUACCGCAUACGCCCUGAGGGGGAAAGUGGGGGAUCGCAAGACCUCACGUUAUUCGAGCGGCCGACGUCUGAUUAGCUAGUUGGUGGGGUAAAGGCUCACCAAGGCGACGAUCAGUAGCGGGUCUGAGAGGAUGAUCCGUCACACUGGAACUGAGACACGGUCCAGACUCCUACGGGAGGCAGCAGUGGGGAAUUUUGGACAAUGGGGGCAACCCUGAUCCAGCCAUUCCGCGUGAGUGAAGAAGGCCUUCGGGUUGUAAAGCUCUUUCAGCCGGAACGAAACGGUACGCACUAAUAUUGUGUGCUAAUGACGGUACCGGCAGAAGAAGCACCGGCUAACUACGUGCCAGCAGCCGCGGUAAUACGUAGGGUGCGAGCGUUAAUCGGAAUUACUGGGCGUAAAGCGUGCGCAGGCGGAUUGUUAAGCAAGAUGUGAAAUCCCCGGGCUUAACCUGGGAAUGGCAUUUUGAACUGGCAGUCUAGAGUGUGUCAGAGGGGGGUGGAAUUCCACGUGUAGCAGUGAAAUGCGUAGAUAUGUGGAGGAACACCAAUGGCGAAGGCAGCCCCCUGGGAUAACACUGACGCUCAUGUACGAAAGCGUGGGUAGCAAACAGGAUUAGAUACCCUGGUAGUCCACGCCCUAAACGAUGUCAACUGGUUGUUGGGGGAGUGAAAUCCCUUAGUAACGAAGCUAACGCGUGAAGUUGACCGCCUGGGGAGUACGGUCGCAAGAUUAAAACUCAAAGGAAUUGACGG